ACAUAUUAAAAAUGCGGAUUCGAAUUCUAAGAAUUACGAUCCGUGCAGAUCGAGAUAUGUAUCUGGACGCACUAGCCGGAUAUCAAAUUCAAAUUAAUUUUAAUUAUAUAUUGACUUAAUCAAAUUUGUAUUCAAAAAUACAUAAGCUAAAAAAAAAAAACAAAACAAAACAAAUCUAGUAACCCUAAACCAUUCAUGCCUCACGCCUCCCCUACUCCGCAGUCCGCACCACUCACAAGCGGCUAAAAUUAGAAACCACCCCAAAUCCCUAACCGUUGAAUGUCAUCCGCCCCGCAAUCGCUGUCGUUGAACGCCGAAUGGCUCGCCUGAGCUGAGCAUGCGUUGCUGGCAUCGAAUGCCGACUGCCUUGCCUCUCCUCGUUCAGCACACUUCGUUGUCAUCAAACACUGGCAACCCGAUGCAUCAUUGGCUCGCAAAGCACACUGCGCGCACACGGCUGCUUUGUCCAUUCUUUCUGUCAUUAGCCGUUGUUAAUACAUACAAAAGGUGAGCACGCGAGUUUCCAACAAAUCAAUUUCAGAUUUUCAAAUUUAUGUUAUGAUAUAUUUAUUUGUGGAUUUAUGAUGUUGCUGUAUGUUAUUUAUGUUUAAUUGUUAAUUGUUGGAUUAUAAUUGAAUUUUAUUUGAUAUGAUUAUUUGAAUUGUUGAAUUUUUAAUUUAUUUGAUUUUUAUUUUUACAGAUCCGGAAUAUCCGCCCGCAUCCGUUGUGGAUAUUACCCGCAUUCG
rnacentral:lncRNA from 1 species